GUCCGCAGCAACUCACAACGUUCCCCCUCGUUCAAAUUUGUAUUCAUAGAUGUACGUUUUUUGACCCGAUAAUUUAUAGAAGUUUUUGUUCACGAUGAUCUACGAUUCAAUCUAGCCCAGCAGAGGGACAUUUGUAAAAAAAAAUAUCGCUUAAAAUAAUCAAUUUAUCAUUUGAAUGCCUAAUAUUUCCCAGACGAAUUUCAAAAUUCUUCAAAACCUGGUUUAGAAUACUCAAGUUACAUAUAGUUAAAGGAAAACACAGUCUUAGCUCGGAAAAUCUCCAAUCUAUCAAGCAAUCAAGCUAAAAAUCAAAUAUACAGACAGG
rnacentral:sRNA from 1 species